GGGUCAAAUGAUGAGGCAAAACUGCAACAAUAUGAUCCAUGAUGUGAUUCUUAGUAUUUAAGUCUCUGAUGACA
rnacentral:snoRNA from 1 species